AUGGUUUGGAAAACUUGGGCGCCACCAAAGGCUAAAUUCUUUGCUUGGUUGGCUAUCCAAGAUAGAAUUUGGACUGCGAAUAGGCUACAAAAACAUGAAUGGCCAAAUUGUGGACUUUGCGCCAUUUGCAAGCGCGAGCGAGAAAGCAGACCACGUCUCUUCUUCAAAUGUUGCUUCCCUAUUAGGCUAUGA
rnacentral:rRNA from 1 species